AUAUGCAUGUUACAUUUUUUUUUCCUCCAAUAAAGUAGUACGGAUAAUUAUUCAUAAUUUCAAUAUAUAUUAAUUCUAUUUGCUAUAUAAGUUUGAGAUAUAAAUUCCAUUCAAUCCCCAAUCCCCAAUCCCCAUCAAUUAUUUAAAAAAAAACACUAUGAAAAAUAAUAGUAAGAGUAAAUUAUUUCCUUCAUUUAUUUUUCUUUUAUUUACAUUGCUAUUUUUGAGCUUCAAUGUGGUUCAUAUUGAGGGCGAAUGCUUGAAGGUCCCUGCUGCUGACAGUAAGAGACCAGUCUGCAAGAACGAAAAGCAAGUUGAUUUUUGCUGUUGAUGUUCAUAUUAUGACCAAGAAAUCAUCUUUUGUGAAGGUCUUGACGCUAAAGUGAAAAUUGCAACAUAAUGAAAACAAUUUUGCAGGCCUUUAACUUUUGACAAACUUUUAACUUUAUUGAUUUUGCACUCUUUAACAUCAACGAGUGUAUGUAAAUAUUAAAAUUAGGUAUUUUUGUUGGUUGGACUUUUCUAACCAAGUUACGAAAACUUAAGAUCAAAGCUCCAUCAACGAAUGUGUGUACGUAUAUGAAUAUCGAAUUCUAAUACUUUUUUAGAUAUGAUGAUUUGGUAUGA